AUCUAUUAGGUUGGUGCAAAAGUAAUUGCUGUUUUUGCUGUUGAAAGUAAUGGCAAAAACUGCAGUUGCGUUUGCACCAACCUAAUA
rnacentral:miRNA from 1 species